AAAUUGAAGAGUUUGAUCAUGGCUCAGAUUGAACGCUGGCGGCAGGCCUAACACAUGCAAGUCGAACGGUAACAGGAAGCAGCUUGCUGCUUCGCUGACGAGUGGCGGACGGGUGAGUAAUGUCUGGGAAACUGCCUGAUGGAGGGGGAUAACUACUGGAAACGGUGGCUAAUACCGCAUAACGUCGCAAGACCAAAGAGGGGGACCUUCGGGCCUCUUGCCAUCAGAUGUGCCCAGAUGGGAUUAGCUGGUUGGUGAGGUAACGGCUCACCAAGGCGACGAUCCCUAGCUGGUCUGAGAGGAUGACCAGCCACACUGGAACUGAGACACGGUCCAGACUCCUACGGGAGGCAGCAGUGGGGAAUAUUGCACAAUGGGCGCAAGCCUGAUGCAGCCAUGCCGCGUGUAUGAAGAAGGCCUUCGGGUUGUAAAGUACUUUCAGCGGGGAGGAAGGUGUUGUGGUUAAUAACCGCAGCAAUUGACGUUACCCGCAGAAGAAGCACCGGCUAACUCCGUGCCAGCAGCCGCGGUAAUACGGAGGGUGCAAGCGUUAAUCGGAAUUACUGGGCGUAAAGCGCACGCAGGCGGUCUGUCAAGUCGGAUGUGAAAUCCCCGGGCUCAACCUGGGAACUGCAUUCGAAACUGGCAGGCUUGAGUCU
rnacentral:rRNA from 1 species